AGUGAACGCUGGCGGUAGGCCUAAUACAUGCAAGUCGAACGGCAGCACAGUAAGAGCUUGCUCUUACGGGUGGCGAGUGGCGGACGGGUGAGGAAUACAUCGGAAUCUACUUUUUCGUGGGGGAUACCGUAGGGAAACUUACGCUAAUACCGCAUACGACCUACGGGUGAAAGCAGGGGAUCUUCGGACCUUGCGCGAUUGAAUGAGCCGAUGUCGGAUUAGCUAGUUGGCGGGGUAAAGGCCCACCAAGGCGACGAUCCGUAGCUGGUCUGAGAGGAUGAUCAGCCACACUGGAACUGAGACACGGUCCAGACUCCUACGGGAGGCAGCAGUGGGGAAUAUUGGACAAUGGGCGCAAGCCUGAUCCAGCCAUACCGCGUGGGUGAAGAAGGCCUUCGGGUUGUAAAGCCCUUUUGUUGGGAAAGAAAAGCAGCAGGUUAAUACCCCGCUGUUCUGACGGUACCCAAAGAAUAAGCACCGGCUAACUUCGUG
rnacentral:rRNA from 1 species